UUUUUUUUUUUCUUUUUCUUCUUCUUCUUCAAUAGUUCAGCAUCUUUAAAAGGCCCAGUGGGGCAGACCUUGGGCUGAUGGUGAAGUUGGGAAAAUGUUAUGUGCCUAUUUCCUGGCCCUGUGGGGCUGUCUCCUGUCUGGGUCUUCUAGCGUGAAACCAAAGCUCAGGAGAAAGGCGGGCAGACAAUGAGCGUUCAGGAAAAGGUGCUUCUGUGCUGAGUCAGGUAAGAAGAGCCGUGUCCCUGCCUUCAUGAUGCUUUGGGAGGGGAAAAGAGCUCAAGUUGGUGUCUGGGGCACAGAGAAGGCAGAACUAGCUGUCAAGACAGGCUGGUUUCUCCACCGAAAAUGAUAACGGGUUUGGGAUUUGCAUGUGAGAGCUGGGGGUGAUGGAGAAAUCCAGAAUCGCAACAGAAACAUGGGGACUUGUGGGGGAUUACUGCUCAGAGUCAUUUGUUUCUCCUUAAAGGCAGCGUUUCCCAAAGAACGCGUAUUAUGACAGGAUGCAUUGACAUUACUUUGACAAAAGUGCAAAAAUUAUAUACAGCAAUACACGAUCAAUUAAUAAACUUUUAAAACGUAAUGUUAAUGUUAUUGGUGACAAUGGGACCUGGGCACUGCUGGAAGUGUAAAUUAGUGGAACCUCUCUGGAGAAAACCUUUAAACAAUUCUACUGCUAUGAGCUAAAUAAAUAAACAAACAAGAAAAUGAAAAAUCUGCAGAAUUCUUCACAAUUUAAAAAAUUAAAUAUACAUAUGAGUGAUAUAAUGGAACUUAUGGCAGAAAAUUAGUAAAAUAAAUUAUGGGCACGUCUGUGUUAUGAAAUAUUAGCCAUUAUAAAUCAUGUUUCAGGAGACCCUUUAAUGACAUGGGGAAAUGUUCAUGCUUAUGUCAUCAAGACCACAGCAAGGUUCCCAAGGAUGUCAAUUAAAAAAACAUAUGUGCUGGAGUUCCCGUCGUGGCGCAUCUGACUAGGAACCAUGAGGUUGCAGGUUCGAUCCCUGGCCUUGCUCAGUGGGUUAAGGAUCUGGUGUUGCCGUGAUCCAUGGUGUAGGUCGCAGACGUGGCUCUGGCAUAGGAUCCGAGCCGUGUCUGCGACCUACACCACAGCUCACGGUAACGCCAGAUUGUUAACCCACUGAGCAAGGCCAGGGAUCGAACUCGCAACCUCAUGGUUCCUAGUCAGAUUCGUUAACCACUGUGCCACGACGGGAACUCCACUAGCUCAUUUCUUAGAGCAGUAUUUAGUGCGAAAAAUUCCUAGGCAAGUUAAUUCCUUGGAGCUUUUUGCAAGAGAUGAUGCAUUAUGAAAUUAAAAAAAAAAAAAACAUGUGACUAUAACCUCUCCACAAGCUAUUAUGCCACAUAGUGGGCUUUGGCCUUUAUUAGGGGAGGUGCAGCUGUGCUGCAGAGUAUUCCUCUCUUUAAAUCCUGAGCUUACUCAGCUCUCCCCUGAACACUGGCUGAGUGGUCCCAGGGCACAGUUGCUGAGCACUGGGAUCCUGUUCAGCAGGGGCGAACUCUCCAGACUGUGGGCAAGUGAGGGGAGAACCCGUGGGCUGGAGAGCCAUGUCUGGCUAGGAAAGGUAGGAACUCAGAGUCAUGCUGCACUUGAGAGGCCAGACUGGCCAGACUGCCACAUACUCCACCGUCCUUCUGUACAGAGGGUGACUGCUCUGUCUAGGCCAGGGGAGGUCACAGGGUGGAAGGAUGGGUGGGCUCAGAAAGACCUUGGCCCUAAAAGAUAGGCAGAUAAGAGUAGAAGAAGACACAUAAGAUGCUCAGCCUGUCCUAGGCUUAUUCAGUGAGGUCUCUGCAGUCAUUCCUGUAGGGGCCGGAAUGCAGCUAUUGCCCCAUCAGCACUUUGAUGCUGCCAUGAUAUGGUCAGCUACGAGCCAGGGGAGUAACCAUAAUAUACAGUGAAUAAAUCCAGUUAGAGUUUGUUGUUGUCAUUUUUUCAUUAGUUUCCAAUGAAUGCUUGUCUUAUUGUCUUCAUAUGAAUUUAUUUAUCUACUUAUUUAUUUAUAAUUUGGCCAUGCCCGUGACAAGUGGAAAUUCCUGGGGCAGGGACUGAACCUGUGCCACGGCAGUAACAACAUGUCUUUGAAUUUACUUAGUUUUUUUUUUUUUCUUUUUUAAAAAAAUAACUCAACGCCAUUUGUACUGGCUAAAUUCUAGGGAUUCACGGAAACCCAAACCAGUUGUUGCAUUCCCACAUCUCUUGGAGU
rnacentral:lncRNA from 1 species